UGUUCUAACAAUUCCAGACAUGAAUAAGAAGAUGUGUAAACAUUCCGCCUGAGAUACCUUAGAAGUCCAAAGCUGCUUGACCAGCCACUGACCCCUCGGCCACCCAGGUUGAGUGGAGGGAGAAGCAUUUGGAUACUAUUUUUCUUGUUUUAAGAAAUCAAACGCUGAUAACACAGAACACACCCAGUGGAAGGAUGUCCUGGAGCUCCACAGUCUCCGAAUUCCCAUGAGAGGUGAAGGUCACAGUCACCUGACCGUCUGCUACAUCUUCAAUGGACGCCGGAUGCCAGACAUCAUCGGAGUAGCGGGCAAAGCACUUCCCUCCAACCUGCACAUGGCUGAAACAAUGGGUUUAGUUCUUGUUUGUUUAUUUAUUGUUUAGAAUCAAACCUGUAAUUGUACACAACUCAAAGUGGCAUAAACAACAGGUCCAUG